AACGAACGCUGGCGGCAUGCCUAACACAUGCAAGUCGAACGAGACUUUCUGGUCUAGUGGCGUACGGGUGCGUAACGCGUGGGAACCUGCCCUUAGUUUCGGAAUAAUCCCCCGAAAGGGGUUCUACUACCAGAUAAUGUUUUCGGACCAAAGAUUUAUUGCCUUAGGAUUGGUCCGCGUUGGAUUAGCUAGUUGGUAGGGUAAAAGCCUACCAAGGCGACGACCCAUAGCUGUUCUGAGAGGAUGAUCAGCCACACUGGGACUGAGACACGGCCCAGACUCCUACGGGAGGCAGCAGUGGGGAAUAUUGGACAAUGGGCGAAAGCCUGAUCCAGCAAUGCCGCGUGAGUGAUGAAGGCCUUAGGGUUGUAAAGCUCUUUUACCCGGGAUGAUAAUGACAGUACCGGGGGAAUAAGCGCCGGCUAACUCCGUG
rnacentral:rRNA from 1 species